UCCGAAAUAGUUUAGUGGCUAGAAUUUGCGCCUGUCAGAAAUUAAUUUCAGCUCGCGCGGGACCGGGGUUCAAUUCCCCGUUUCGGAG
rnacentral:tRNA from 1 species